UAAGGAAAGGCCCUAAUUAAUAAAUGCUUUCAUUCUGUUUCAGUCUCUCUGGACGGUGACGGCGAACAAUGCACGGCGCUGGCCGUUGAGGGUUGCUGACGGCGAAGCUGACGAGCAAUUUGGGUUCAACUGACUCGGUGGCCAAUCUUUGCCGAUGAAGAAGCAGCUGGGAGUAGUAGUACUGAUACUCACUCUGUCAUUUUGUCGGGCACUUGGUUGGCAGUCGAUGAAUUGGCGUUUUGGAUCAGGAAGAUGGGUUUACUGGGAGCAGAGCAGACCCUUUUGAGCUGCAGCCAUUGAAGCUUGGCUUGCCUGUCCUGGCCUGGUAAUUCAUAUGAAGAUGAAGUUGAAACUGCCAAGGGAAGAACAAUUAAAAGGAAAACAAGAAGCAUAGUCAUGGUUGAGUUUUAAGGAGUCUGCAAUACAUGUACACACUCCACGACGCUGAAUCAAGCCUUACAGCAGCUUCUUACUCUUGUUUCAGAUCCAGAAAGAAAUCUCUAGCUUUGUUACUUACCUCUCUGAACUGCUUAGCGUCAGCAUGUGAUUUGAUUGCGCACAGGAUUUAGGGCAUUUUUAUAGAUUUGGAGGUUCCAUUUUUGGAUCAACCCUUCUGAACUCUUGUCUAUAUGAGCUUUGUAAUACAAUGACAUUGAACUAUUUGUAAUGUACUCAUGAUUGAGAGUGGAA